CGUUGCCCGAACAGUAAGUGUAAGCUGUGAUAUUUCAGUUCUCUUUCUUAUGAUGUUUUGCAGACCUUGUGCUCAGCUAUAAAUGGUGGAAAGUUGACGACUUUGUCAAGUGCUCCACUAACACGCAAGUACACUACAUCACAGAUUACCUGUAUGCAACAGCAAGACUCCACAGUGACUGCAGAAUGCUGAGGACCAAGCUGUUUCGCUGCUUGAACGAGAGCUACAGUUCAGCCGACAAGGCUGACCCCAAGCCUGAUGUUGACGGCGCCGGCAAGGUUCUGGAGAUCUUCUUAAGUAGAACAUGGUGCGUGGACGAGCGGGACCUGCCUCAGGGCACCGGGGGUGGCGCAGCGAGUAGCACAACAGGCAAUGGCAGCGAUGACGACGAUGAUCCCACAGACGAUCCCACAGACGAUCCCACAGACAAUCCGGCGGUCACAGGAACCGCAACCGCCGGCUCUGCGAUUCCCGUGGUGUCGGGAAAUCCGGACAAUGGCGUCAACGGCCAAACCAUUUCCACGUCUGGUCUCGCCGGUUUGGUCUUGGUCGUGCUGUUUAGAGUGCUGUCUUUUUAGGUGGAGCCACGUGUUAGAUGCAAUGAGUACUUUGCUGAUGUCGGAAAAACCUCUCACUCCGAAAAGCGAAGCGGACACAGCUGUAAAACUUGUUUCGCGUGCUGUAACGCAAUAGUGACUGCGUGAGGAGGAAAUUGAAGAUAGGGUGGGUGAUGGGGGCUAAAAGCCCACACAUUUUAUUUUACUUUCGGGAAGAAAGCUGUCACACACACACGAAGAGAAUGACAAUCUAUGAGCUCGCCUCUUUUGUCAAUUCGCUUUUAAUGGUGGAAACCUACCAACUAACCCAUUUUCUCAUUCCUUUCAUUGUGAACAUAAUCUCAGAUAUUUUUUUCACGGAAUGUUUACCUAUUGCAAUUGGCCUCGUGUACGACCGACGGUGACGCGGCGAGCAAUGAUCCGGUGACGUCAGCAAGGGGAUCCGCCUUUGUCAUCUGAUAUCCAGUUGGUGGAAUCGCUGCAUUUUCCAUUCAUAGCUCCUACUUUGAAUGCAUACACACAAGGCCUCGAGCACGCGUAUAACAGUUCGUAAUCUUUUCGAAUGUAAUUUCAUAAACUACUGGUAUUAUAGGCCAACCACCAUUCUAGUUUCUUAUCUGUCAUCCAUAAAACCACAUUCAUUGUGGCCCAGGAAGCCAACCAUGGAUAUCGUCACACAAAUGCAAGACGUCCCGCCUCUUCACCAAAGGCCUCUGCAGCUUUGUAACCGAAGCACAACCGAAUAAAGACGAGCAAACUGCCGUUUA